rnacentral:rRNA from 1 species
AUGAGAUUAAGAGCUGGAAAUGUGCAUUUCAACUACAAGUAUUACAAAAAUACUAUGCAAAAGACUGAAGUUCAUGAUUCUUAUAUUGAUCCCUUCUUACCAGUCACUGAAGAUUUUGCUUGCCCCUUUUGCUUCGUAAAGUGUGGAAGCUACAAGAUAUCUGAAGAACGCCAGGCUGUUGAUGUUAGUCUGAAGGCUGAUGCAUGGAGAAUAGAGCUUGGGCCUGAGGGAGUUGAUCCAAUACAUCAAACAUUUUCCUACUGCUCAAGGUUUAAGACUAGAAGGUUGGUAACCACAUCUGCGAAAAUAAGCCUUGACGAUGGUAUUUUUCCGCACGUGCAACUCAUGCUAAGAUCCCGUCGAGCUGCCGCCAUCCUCUAUUUUGCCACAGCUGCCGAUUUCUUCUCUCGCCGUCACCAUCUCUUUCUCGUGGCUGGUGCUGCUGCUAGCCCUGCUAGCGUCCGCCAUUACUUCCGCCAUCACCCAUCUCCUUCAGGAAUCAGCCCCAUCUCCACACGCCGGCUGCUGGCCCUUCCGGCCUUCCCUCUGCCCACCGUUUCCGCCCUGCUGCCAGGAGGCCGCCACCACCCGAUCCAGGAGGUCGCCGCCCCAUGCCAGCUUGCUCCGUCGUCCGCCGCCUUGCUCCGCCUGUCCUGCGACUGCCGGCUUGUUCCGUCUCAUUGCUGGCGCCCGCUCGUGCAGAUAUUUCUGUGGAACGUGCUUCUGUUGAUCCUUCUCAAGCAUCACCGACAGUAUGAGGGAAUACAAGGAAGUUAUCUGUAG